UUAAAUUGAAGAGUUUGAUCAUGGCUCAGAUUGAACGCUGGCGGCAGGCCUAACACAUGCAAGUCGAACGGUAACAGGAAGAAGCUUGCUUCUUUGCUGACGAGUGGCGGACGGGUGAGUAAUGUCUGGGAAACUGCCUGAUGGAGGGGGAUAACUACUGGAAACGGUAGCUAAUACCG
rnacentral:rRNA from 1 species